UAUGUUUUCGGAAAGGAAAUAGCCAAUGCUUUUGUAAGGUUAACAUUUUAUUUUUCACGCUUAUCGUCAUCUUCUAUAUGCAUCGUCAUCUAUAGUUCAUCGUCCUUAGCCAUCUAGAACCGUCCCAUUAAUGGGUUUCAGUAGGUUGUGCUAGAUGUAUCUUCCUAAUGAAUCUCUGGAUCGAGCUUCAUUCGCGCCGGUUCGUCUUAGAUUCGUCUCCUCCAAAACGUUACGGAUUCAUCAAUUUAUUGCCAUUAAGAAGCAUCUUUACUCCUUUGACCACCAACAAGCACCAAUCAAACAUUCAAUGCUUCUAAUUCCUCAUUCAGGCGGUGUUUAUCCCCCCCAUAAAAAGAUCCAUCAAGAUCCAAACUUUCCAUAUUCAUCGACACAUCCUAUUGCUUCCCAUAAAGUUUAGGAUGAGAGUGCUUUCAGAGUUUUGGUGAGCUUUUACAAGUGGUGAUCAUGAGAGAUCGAGUCACUGGCUGUGAUCAUGGCUUUGGUUUCUUUUUCUUCGUUGGUCCCAGUGUUCCUGUGAGAGCCAUAUUGCUCUAUGUUAAAUUGACUGACGGGUUAUCGGAUUUGAGUCGAGCGGUUGGAUCUCAUCGUCUCGAUAGACGAAGAUUCACAUUCUGGAUCAUAACGCUGCUGCAAAGAAAUGAUAAGAAACGAUGCUAUGCUUAGUUAAGACGCAAAGAGAUCUGUAUAUGGUAUGAAAAUCGAGAAUUGAUGCAAGUGAUGCUGAUAAGAAGAUGGACAUGUCAGUUCAACAGGGGGUUCAAAGGUCCAGUGUCCCUGUUAAAAUUUCUCCGACACUGUUCCAUCUCUUCUUUCUUUCUACAUCUCCAUCGACGGUUCCGACUAUGUGCUUUCUCCUCUUAAGAUAUAUUCUCAUGUACAGAUGGGCCCUUCGUAUAUGCCGGGCUUGGUGGAAGAAAAUAGUUUGGAUACUCAGGUUGUACCAGUCCCUGGCUCUGAGUUAAUCAUGGCACCUUCUCAGUGGAGCAGUAAAUAUUGUUGGUAACUUGACAGACUUUUAAAAAAUGUCGCUUUCUCUUCUGCCUGAGCGUGAUGACGGAGGACACUACCCUCCAAAACUUCACUUGGACGUUGACAGGACAGCCAUAAUAAGCACUGAUGUAAGUGUCUCACCCUUCCACCACAUCGUUAUAAACUCGACUUUGAAGUCCUGUUAUUCCCAAAAGAAGUCUCAUUUGGGUCUGCAGUCGUUUUUAACAAGUGCUCGAGGGUCUAUGAUGUGAUGUUAGAACCUAGGCUUGCAGUUUGAUUAGUUUUUUUUUGGGUUCUUUUAGCCAUUGAUAGGUUUGGAUUGAGAUUAAUUUUAAUUAGAUAAGAGUUUUUAAAAUGCAGCUGGAAAAUACAGUUUAUGCAUUGCAUAUCACAGAAACUUAUGAUGAUUUCGCGGCAGAAUGAUUCUUGCACGAAGCCAUAAAUGUUACUGCAAAACAUUAUGUUCUCGAGUGCAUUUUUAUGAGAGAAGUGAGUCGUUUUCUGUUCCUCUUUGGCUGAAUUCUCAUGCCUCCUAAUGGAGUGUGGUUGCUAUGGAAAUGCAAGCUAAAGCUAAAGUUAAAAUAGUGCCCAUAAGGGAAAAUUGCAUUGCUUAACUUUGCAAAAUUUAUGUUUCUUGAUUGAACAGUUUGCUUGAUGCCGCUCAAGAAUACAUAACAAAACAUGCUUAUUCUGUGUAUCAAAAUCUGUUUUCUAACCCAUUUCAACAUCGUUAUAGAAAGAAAAGUUAUGGUUUUUUAUCUUUAUAUUUGAGAUUCAAAAUAGACUUCACUACAAUGUCUUUUUCCUCUCUUUUUUUUUUAAAAAAAUUUCUUUUAUGUUCCUAGCUUAAUUGGGUUGUUGAUGUUUAUAAUAUAUAAAAUGCCAUCUGCUUAAGAGUUUAUACAAAAUUUUCCUUAAGAGAUUCGAAGUUUUGAUCUGGUCCUCUGCUUGAAUGUUAGUCUCCUCAUUUUUGGUCUUUAUAAAUAUGUAAUAGUUCUGAAAAAGAAAUAAAUUCUUUAAGCUUAUAGUAUGUUGAUUGAGUUUUCAUGAUUCUGUUACAUAUACACAUCUUUUUUGUAUACUCUUUGUUAUAGAUGGUUCUGUUAUAUAUUCACACUCUUUUUGUA